AUUGAACGCUGGCGGCAGGCCUAACACAUGCAAGUCGAGCGGAUGAGAAGAGCUUGCUCUUCGAUUCAGCGGCGGACGGGUGAGUAAUGCCUAGGAAUCUGCCUGGUAGUGGGGGACAACGUUUCGAAAGGAACGCUAAUACCGCCUACGUCCUACGGGAGAAAGCAGGGGAACUUCGGGCCUUGCGCCAACAGAUGAGCCUAGGUCGGAUUAGCUAGUUGGUGAGGUAAUGGCUCACCAAGGCGACGAUCUGUAGCUGGUCUGAGAGGAUGAUCAGUCAAACUGGAACUGAGACACGGUCCAGACUCCUACGGGAGGCAGCAGUGGGAAAUAUUGGACAAUGGGCGAAAGCCUGAUCCAGCCAUGCCGCGUGUGUGAAGAAGGUCUUCGGAUUGUAAAGCACUUUAAGUUGGGAGGAAGGGCAGUAAGUUAAUACCUUGCUGUUUUGACGUUACCGACAGAAUAAGCACCGGCUAACUCUGUGCCAGCCGCCGCCGUAAUAC
rnacentral:rRNA from 1 species